AAACGCUGUAGCUCGCUCCACCUGCUGCUGCCGCUGCCGCCGCCGCCGCCGCCGCCUUUGCCACUGCGAGAACUGUAGCGGUGCGACCCGGGAUUCCCUCCUCUCGGCGCCCCACCCUCGACUCCUGUUCCGCUGAGCGCGCCCUCCCCGGCGGGCGGAGACUGCAGCGCCGGGGGCUGAGGAAAGCCAUCCGACCUUGGGACUAGGGAAACGUGGACUUGGUGGGCUAUUCUGCGCUGAAGAGGCAGCAACGAGGGCUCGGUGGUAUUGGUGUUGGUCCUAGUGGAAUUGUCAAGAGGAUGCUUUUGAAGUGGCCCAGCAUCUUGGAAGUUCACCAUGCUUGCUUUGCAAGAGAUUCCUGACGCUGCAGUGAAAGAGGUCCAGUCAUUCCAGAGAGAACUUCAGUUUCAGACAAGUCAUCAAAUCCAGAAAGCAAGGAAAAAUACCCUGAAAGACGACUGGCAAAUCUCGGUGAAAGAGUAGACGCACUUCAUGGAUUGGAGUGAAUCUUAGAGCACCUGGUACCUUGCACAGGACCUGAUGCCUGGAGGUACAGCAGCCAUCUUGUGACCAUAAGGAGGAAAUCAACGCAUUAAGAAGGGAAAAGCUAAGAAGAUACAGAGAGCAGGGACCACUGACAACAUGAUCAAGCCACUCUACCAGGCCUUAACUUCCUAUUCCCUGACUUCUUAUUGAAAGAGACAAUAAAACUUCUCAUUUGUUUUAACCCAUAGAAGUAAGGCAUUCUGUUACUUAUGGGUGAACACAAUUCUUAACUGAUGCCAUGGUUUAAUGGGAGUAGGGAUCCUGGUAUGACAGGAAAUUGAG
rnacentral:lncRNA from 1 species